UGGUUGUUGAUGUCGUGGGGCCUGAUGUGUGGUUCAAGUGAUGGGGUGACACAGUGUAGUAGCCAUGCCGCUUAGUGGAUUGUUGGUGUAAGCGUGUGAGGUGGUGUGUAGGCAAAUCCGCACACCGUGUACCUGAGGCGUGAUGCGUAGCCCGAUUGGGUGAAGUUGGUGAUCUAGUACUGUCGAGAAAAGCCUCUAGCGAUGUGGAUGUAUGGCCCGUACCCUAAACCGACACAGGUGGUCAGGUUGAAAAUACUAAGGCGUUCGGGUGAACUGUGGUUAAGGAACUCGGCAAAAUGCCCCCGUAACUUCGGAAGAAGGGGGACCACACGACUUAAGCCAAUCUUUGCGUUGGUGGUGGGUUGUGGGGUCGCAGAGAAUAGAGGGAAGCGACUGUUUAUCAAAAACACAGGUCCAUGCGAAGACGUGAAGUUGAUGUAUAUGGACUGACGCCUGCCCGGUGCUGGAAGGUUAAGAGGACCGGUUAGUCACCUUUUGGUGGCGAAGCUGAGAAUUUAAGCCCCAGUAAACGGCGGUGGUAACUAUAACCAUCCUAAGGUAGCGAAAUUCCUUGUCGGGUAAGUUCCGACCUGCACGAAUGGCGUAACGACUUCUCUGCUGUCUCAACCACAGGCCCGGUGAAAUUGCACUACGAGUAAAGAUGCUCGUUACGCGCGGCAGGACGAAAAGACCCCGGGACCUUCACUAUAGCUUGGUAUUGGUGUUCGGUUCGGUUUGUGUAGGAUAGGUGGGAGACUAUGAAGCGUGCACGCCAGUGUGUGUGGAGUCGUUGUUGAAAUACCACUCUGAUCGGAUUGGAUACCUUAACCUUGGCCCAUGAUCUGGGUUGGGGACAGUGCCUGGUGGGUAGUUUAACUGGGGCGGUUGCCUCCCAAAAUGUAACGGAGGCGCCCAAAGGUUCCCUCAGCCUGGUUGGCAAUCAGGUAUCGAGUGUAAGUGCACAAGGGAGCUUGACUGUGAGACAGACAUGUCGAACAGGGACGAAAGUCGGGACUAGUGAUCCGGCACCUACUUGUGGAUGUGGUGUCGCUCAACGGAUAAAAGGUACCCCGGGGAUAACAGGCUGAUCUUCCCCAAGAGUCCAUAUCGACGGGAUGGUUUGGCACCUCGAUGUCGGCUCGUCGCAUCCUGGGGCUGGAGUAGGUCCCAAGGGUUGGGCUGUUCGCCCAUUAAAGCGGCACGCGAGCUGGGUUCAGAACGUCGUGAGACAGUUCGGUCUCUAUCCGCCGCGCGCGUUGAAACUUGAAGAAGGCUGUCCCUAGUACGAGAGGACCGGGACGGACGUACCUCUAGUGUGCCAGUUGUUCCGCCAGGAGCAUCGCUGGUUGGCUACGUACGGAAGGGAUAACCGCUGAAAGCAUCUAAGCGGGAAGCCUGUUUUAAGAUGAGGUUUCAUUUGAGGUCCCCUACAGACGAUGGGGUUGAUAGGCCAGACCUGGACGCACCGCAAGGUGUGAAGGCUACUGGUACUAAUAGACCAAAACAAACACACCAAA
rnacentral:rRNA from 1 species